CGGGGUGGAGUAACGCGUGGGUAACCUGCCUCAUACAGGGGGAUAGCAGCUGGAAACGGCUGGUAAUACCGCAUAAGCGCACGGUAUCGCAUGAUACAGUGUGAAAAACUCCGGUGGUAUGAGAUGGACCCGCGUCUGAUUAGCUAGUUGGUGAGGUAACGGCCCACCAAGGCGACGAUCAGUAGCCGGCCUGAGAGGGUGAACGGCCACAUUGGGACUGAGACACGGCCCAA
rnacentral:rRNA from 1 species